rnacentral:lncRNA from 1 species
AGGAUCUGAUGAAAUGGAAGUCCUCCCAGAAGCAAUGCUUUUCAAUCUUCUCAUCAUAUUCAUAUUUGUUGAAUCCAACCCAACAAUUAACUCAAUUUAAACCUUGAAUCCCCUCAAAUCCCACCCACAACAAGAUUAUUGUUAUUAUUUUUUUGUUCACAAACAAGAGAGAAGGGUGUUUUUCUUUCUCUCCCCUCCCCCAGUUUCUGCAAACAAAAAAAUGGAGAAGAAUAUGGAGAGAAAAACACCAUCUUAUGAACUUUUUUCUCUCUAAAUUUUCUCUUUCUUACUCAAAAUUGG